rnacentral:tRNA from 1 species
GGCGCAUUGGUCAAGCGGUUAAGACGCCGCCCUCUCACGGCGGAAACAGCGGUUCGAUUCCGCUAUGCGCUA